rnacentral:rRNA from 1 species
CAGCCGUAAACUAUGCGCGUUAGGUGUACUGGUGACCACGAGUCACCGGGGUGCCGAAGGGAAACCGUGAAACGUGCCGCCUGGGAAGUACGGUCGCAAGGCUGAAACUUAAAGGAAUUGGCGGGGGAGCGCCACAACGGGUGGAGCCUGCGGUUUAAUUGGACUCAACGCCGGAAAUCUCACCGGAUAGGACAGACAUAUGAUAGUCGGGCUGAAGACUCUACUUGAUGAUCUGAGAGGAGGUGCAUGGCGUCAGUG